rnacentral:rRNA from 1 species
CCAGCAUUUAGUUGGGCACUCUAAGGGGACUGCCGGUGAUAAGCCGAGAGGAAGGUGGGGAUGACGUCAAGUCCUCAUGGCCCUUACGGGCUGGGCUACACACGUGCUACAAUGGUGGUGACAGUGGGCAGCGAGCACGCGAGUGUGAGCUAAUCUCCAAAAGCCAUCUCAGUUCGGAUUGCACUCUGCAACUCGAGUGCAUGAAGUUGGAAUCGCUAGUAAUCGCGGAUCAGCAUGCCGCGGUGAAUACGUUCCCGGGCCUU